CCUACGGGUGGCUGCAGUGAGGAAUAUUGGUCAAUGGACGCGAGUCUGAACCAGCCAAGUAGCGUGAAGGAUGACUGCCCUAUGGGUUGUAAACUUCUUUUAUAUGGGAAUAAAGUGUUCCACGUGUGGCAUUUUGUAUGUACCAUAUGAAUAAGGAUCGGCUAACUCCGUGCCAGCAGCCGCGGUAAUACGGAGGAUCCGAGCGUUAUCCGGAUUUAUUGGGUUUAAAGGGAGCGUAGGUGGAUUGUUAAGUCAGUUGUGAAAGUUUGCGGCUCAACCGUAAAAUUGCAAUUGAUACUGGCAGUCUUGAGUACAGUAGAGGUGGGCGGAAUUCGUGGUGUAGCGGUGAAAUGCUUAGAUAUCACGAAGAACUCCGAUUGCGAAGGCAGCUUACUGGACUGCCACUGACACUGAGGCUCGAAAGUGUGGGUAUCAAACAGGAUUAGAUACCCCGGUAGUC
rnacentral:rRNA from 1 species